GCUGUGAACUCGAAGAGUAGGGCGGGACACGUGGUAUCCUGUCUGAAUAUGGGGGGACCAUCCUCCAAGGCUAAAUACUCCUGACUGACCGAUAGUGAACCAGUACCGUGAGGGAAAGGCGAAAAGAACCCCGGCGAGGGGAGUGAAAAAGAACCUGAAACCGUGUACGUACAAGCAGUGGGAGCCUCUUUAUGGGGUGACUGCGUACCUUUUGUAUAAUGGGUCAGCGACUUAUAUUCUGUAGCAAGGUUAACCGUAUAGGGGAGCCGAAGGGAAACCGAGUCUUAACUGGGCGUUAAGUUGCAGGGUAUAGACCCGAAACCCGGUGAUCUAGCCAUGGGCAGGUUGAAGGUUGGGUAACACUAACUGGAGGACCGAACCGACUAAUGUUGAAAAAUUAGCGGAUGACCUGUGGCUGGGGGUGAAAGGCCAAUCAAACCGGGAGAUAGCUGGUUCUCCCCGAAAGCUAUUUAGGUAGCGCCUCGUGAACUCAUCUUCGGGGGUAGAGCACUGUUUCGGCUAGGGGGCCAUCCCGGCUUACCAACCCGAUGCAAACUACGAAUACCGAAGAAUGUUAUCACGGGAGACACACGGCGGGUGCUAACGUCCGUCGUGAAGAGGGAAACAACCCAGACCGCCAGCUAAGGUCCCAAAGUCAUGGUUAAGUGGGAAACGAUGUGGGAAGGCACAGACAGCCAGGAUGUUGGCUUAGAAGCAGCCAUCAUUUAAAGAAAGCGUAAUAGCUCACUGGUCGAGUCGGCCUGCGCGGAAGAUGUAACGGGGCUAAACCAUGCACCGAAGCUGCGGCAGCGACGCUUAUGCGUUGUUGGGUAGGGGAGCGUUCUGUAAGCCGUUGAAGGUGUGCUGUGAGGCAUGCUGGAGGUAUCAGAAGUGCGAAUGCUGACAUAAGUAACGAUAAAGCGGGUGAAAAGCCCGCUCGCCGGAAGACCAAGGGUUCCUGUCCAACGUUAAUCGGGGCAGGGUGAGUCGACCCCUAAGGCGAGGCCGAAAGGCGUAGUCGAUGGGAAACAGGUUAAUAUUCCUGUACUUGGUGUUACUGCGAAGGGGGGACGGAGAAGGCUAUGUCAGCCGGGCGACGGUUGUCCCGGUUUAAGCAUGUAGGCGGAGGUUCCAGGUAAAUCCGGUACCUUAUUAACGCUGAGGUGUGAUGACGAGGCACUACGGUGCUGAAGUGAUAAAUGCCCUGCUUCCAGGAAAAGCCUCUAAGCAUCAGGUAACACGAAAUCGUACCCCAAACCGACACAGGUGGUCAGGUAGAGAAUACCAAGGCGCUUGAGAGAACUCGGGUGAAGGAACUAGGCAAAAUGGUGCCGUAACUUCGGGAGAAGGCACGCUGAUGUGUAGGUGAAGCCCCUGCGGGUGGAGCUGAAAUCAGUCGAAGAUACCAGCUGGCUGCAACUGUUUAUUAAAAACACAGCACUGUGCAAACACGAAAGUGGACGUAUACGGUGUGACGCCUGCCCGGUGCCGGAAGGUUAAUUGAUGGGGUUAGCGGCAACGCGAAGCUCUUGAUCGAAGCCCCGGUAAACGGCGGCCGUAACUAUAACGGUCCUAAGGUAGCGAAAUUCCUUGUCGGGUAAGUUCCGACCUGCACGAAUGGCGUAAUGAUGGCCAGGCUGUCUCCACCCGAGACUCAGUGAAAUUGAACUCGCUGUGAAGAUGCAGUGUACCCGCGGCAAGACGGAAAGACCCCGUGAACCUUUACUAUAGCUUGACACUGAACACUGGUCCUUGAUGUGUAGGAUAGGUGGGAGGCUUUGAAGCGUGGACGCCAGUCUGCGUGGAGCCAACCUUGAAAUACCACCCUUUAAUGGCUGGUGUUCUAACGUAGACCCGUAAUCCGGGUUGCGGACAGUGUCUGGUGGGUAGUUUGACUGGGGCGGUCUCCUCCCAAAGAGUAACGGAGGAGCACGAAGGUUGGCUAAUCCUGGUCGGACAUCAGGAGGUUAGUGCAAUGGCAUAAGCCAGCUUGACUGCGAGCGUGACGGCGCGAGCAGGUGCGAAAGCAGGUCAUAGUGAUCCGGUGGUUCUGAAUGGAAGGGCCAUCGCUCAACGGAUAAAAGGUACUCCGGGGAUAACAGGCUGAUACCGCCCAAGAGUUCAUAUCGACGGCGGUGUUUGGCACCUCGAUGUCGGCUCAUCACAUCCUGGGGCUGAAGUAGGUCCCAAGGGUAUGGCUGUUCGCCAUUUAAAGUGGUACGCGAGCUGGGUUUAGAACGUCGUGAGACAGUUCGGUCCCUAUCUGCCGUGGGCGCUGGAGAAUUGAGGGGGGCUGCUCCUAGUACGAGAGGACCGGAGUGGACGCAUCACUGGUGUUCGGGUUGUCAUGCCAAUGGCACUGCCCGGUAGCUAAAUGCGGAAGAGAUAAGUGCUGAAAGCAUCUAAGCACGAAACUUGCCCCGAGAUGAGUUCU
rnacentral:rRNA from 1 species